ACGGGUGAGUAACACGUGAGCAACCUGCCCUGGACUCUGGGAUAAGCGCUGGAAACGGUGUCUAAUACUGGAUAUGAGACGUGAUCGCAUGGUCGUGUUUGGAAAGAUUUUUCGGUCUGGGAUGGGCUCGCGGCCUAUCAGCUUGUUGGUGAGGUAAUGGCUCACCAAGGCGUCGACGGGUAGCCGGCCUGAGAGGGUGACCGGCCACACUGGGACUGAGACACGGCCCAGACUCCUACGGGAGGCAGCAGUGGGGAAUAUUGCACAAUGGGCGAAAGCCUGAUGCAGCAACGCCGCGUGAGGGAUGACGGCCUUCGGGUUGUAAACCUCUUUUAGCAGGGAAGAAGCGAAAGUGACGGUACCUGCAGAAAAAGCGCCGGCUAACUACGUGCCAGCAGCCGCGGUGAUACGUAGGGCGCAAGCGUUAUCCGGAAUUAUUGGGCGUAAAGAGCUCGUAGGCGGUUUGUCGCGUCUGCUGUGAAAUCCCGAGGCUCAACCUCGGGCCUGCAGUGGGUACGGGCAGACUAGAGUGCGGUAGGGGAGAUUGGAAUUCCUGGUGUAGCGGUGGAAUGCGCAGA
rnacentral:rRNA from 1 species